rnacentral:rRNA from 1 species
CCAGACUCCUACGGGAGGCAGCAGUGGGGAAUAUUGGGCAAUGGGCGCAAGCCUGACCCAGCAAUGCCGCGUGAAGGAAGAAGGCUUUCGGGUUGUAAACUUCUUUGACAGGGGAAGAGCAGAAGACGGUACCCUGAAAACAAGCCACGGCUAACUACGUGCCAGCAGCCGCGGUAAUACGUAGGGGGCAAGCGUUAUCCGGAUUCACUGGGUGUAAAGGGAGCGUAGACGGCGACGCAAGUCUGGAGUGAAAGCCCGGGGCCCAACCCCGGGACUGCUCUGGAAACUGCGUCGCUGGAGUACGGGAGGGGCAGGCGGAAUUCCUGGUGUAGCGGUGAAAUGCGUAGAUAUCAGGAGGAACACCGGCGGCGAAGGCGGCCUGCUGGACCGUGACUGACGUUGAGGCUCGAGAGCGUGGGGAGCAAACAGGAUUAGAUACCCUAGUA